AUUGAACGCUGGCGGCAGGCCUAACACAUGCAAGUCGAACGAGUGGCGGACGGGUGAGUAAUGUCUGGGAAACUGCCUGAUGGAGGGGGAUAACUACUGGAAACGGUAGCUAAUACCGCAUACCAUCGGAUGUGCCCAGAUGGGGUUAGCUAGUAGGUGGGGUAAAGGCUCACCUAGGCGACGAUCCCUAGCUGGUCUGAGGGGCUGACCGGCCACACUGGAACUGAGACACGGUCCGGACUCCUGCGGGAGGCAUCAGGGGGGAAUAUUGCAAAAUGGGCGCAAGCCUGAUACAGCCAUGCCGCGUGUAUGAAGAAGGCAUUCGGGGUGUAAAGUACUUUCAGCGGGGAGGCGUUACCCGCAGAAGAAGCACCGGCUAACUCCGUGCCAGCAGCCGCGGUAAUUC
rnacentral:rRNA from 1 species